AAAAUUAUGUCAUGACCGUUAAAAAAGUUUGUUCGAUAUAGUGUGAAAUUGAAUAUGGGUCAUAUGAAUGAAAUUCAGUCAUAUUCGGAUGCAGCAUAUGUCUCAGUAAUCUCUCUAUUAUUUUUGUUAUUUCAGAUCAUACCCUCGCUACGGCAGUGCUGGAAACACAAUUAUCAGGUUAUUCUGUCAUAUGAUGACUCGGCUGCUUCUGGAUAUGAGGAGCUCUGGCCACAGUGUGAAUAUUGGUGGGCGAACACAUCAGAUCCAAGCCAUGUCAUAUCCUACCUGGAGGAGCGGAAAGCGGAAGGAAGACCAGAGUGAUGCGGACAGUUUGUGUCUGAUCUGCCAUGACAACCUACGCAAAGGAGGAGGAGUUAUCAGAGAGCUUCACUGUUCCCACAGCUUCCACACUGAGUGCAUAGAGGAAUGGCAAUGGACUAAGCAGACCUGUCCCACGUGUCAAAAGCAUGUUGCCAUGCCAGAGCCCCUGUACUGGACAUCAACCAGAGUAAUAGUGCCCUGAGCUCUUCCAGCACCCAUUCAAACUAGCUUGGACAUCAGAUGGGUAACCAAAACAUCAGACACGAUGGUGCAUAACUAACAACGCAGCUAUUUCCUACAAAAAAAAAAAAGGUGGUCAUAUGACUAAUCACAAAGAGGAGAUUUUGCUAUUCAGGAGAAACAGAUUGGUAGAGCAUUUCUUUGUAUAUAGGCUAAAUGACUUUAACAUCACUAAAUGUAAAAUUGUUUUUUAAAAUCAUAUUUACAUAUUAAGAAAAUGUUAUUUUCUAAUGUGUAUAUCUUUUUCUGCAGAAAUGUAAGCAAACUGAACAAGUUGUAUGAAGUAUGAAUUUUAAAAUGUACCUCACUAUAUUUGUAAGUAAUUCAAAGUAGGCCUACUGGCAAUGUUCUGUUUUCAAAACAUGUAACUAAUGUAAUACUAUCAACAAAAGUGCAGGCCUGUAUUUACCAGGUGUGUACUUGAGUAAAUGUGCUUCUUUACUAUUCUUAAAGGGUUAGUUCACCCAAAAAUUCACUCAGAUUCCAUCAAAAAUAUCUUAAUUUGUGUUCUGAAGAUGAACGAAGCUCUUAUGGGGUUGAAAUGACAUGAGGGUGAGUAAUUAAUGACAAUUUUCAUUUUUGGGUGAACUAACCCUUUAAGUACUACUUGGGGAAUUUGAACGUUAUUUUAGUUCAUACAGUAUUUCACUGGUCAUCCUGACAGAAUUAUGAUGAAUCUGACUGAAACAAGUCAAAAUCACAUUCCUGUGAUGUUUACUAAACUUUUAUUGAAAACAGCCAAUAAAACCUGUUUUAAUGUCGUCA
ensembl:lncRNA